rnacentral:rRNA from 1 species
CAGCACCCCGAGUGGUCGGGACGAUUAUUGGGCCUAAAGCAUCCGUAGCCGGUCCUGCAAGUCCUCCGUUAAAUCCACCCGCUCAACGGUUGGGCCGCGGGGGAUACUACAGGGCUAGGAGGCGGGAGAGGCAAGCGGUACUCGAUGGGUAGGGGUAAAAUCCACUGAUCCAUUGAAGACCACCAGUGGCGAAGGCGGCUUGCCAGAACGCGCUCGACGGUGAGGGAUGAAAGCUGGGGGAGCAAACCGGAUUAGAUACCCGGGUAGUCCCAGCUGUAAACGAUGCAGACUCGGUGAUGGGCUGGCUUCGUGCCAACCCGGUGCCGCAGGGAAGCCGUUAAGUCUGCCGCCUGGGGAGUACGGUCGCAAGACUGAA